AACCGCACGGGAUAAUAGAUUAUCCCGUGCGGUCGUCUUAAACCGACCGCACGGGAAGGCCUAAUUUUCCGUGCGGUU
rnacentral:pre_miRNA from 11 species